AGCUUUAUAGUCAAUAAAUGAUAUUAGAAUGCAAUUCUAAAGUAGUAAAUAUACUAAAGCUU
rnacentral:tRNA from 1 species